rnacentral:lncRNA from 11 species
AAAAGGAUGGUGAAAAGACAUCGUCCGGGAUUCCAAGGUCAGGUCAGGUCAGGAGAUAACAGCGGUGUCCAAAGAGCAAGCCAGGAGUCAAAAGCCGAUAGUAGUCAUCAAUCACAGGGCGAAGGCAGUAGCAAGGUCAAAUUCCGAUCCAAGGUCUGAAGAGGGUGCAGUCAUCCAAAACAGGUCCACGAUAAGACACAGCGAGAGCCAAGCUAGGUGAUAACAGCAGAUUCAAAUCAUAGUCCAAGUCCAGUCUUCAUGGAAACACAGAGAUCCCAAUGGCGCCUCAGCAACACCUUGCCACACGCAAAGUGCAGUGGCCAAACAUUCCC